rnacentral:rRNA from 1 species
UAAUGGCUCAGGAUGAACGCUGGCGGCGUGCUAACACAUGCAAGUCGAACGAAGCAGUUACUACGACCCCUCGGGUGACAAUUACUGACUGAGUGGCGGACGGGUGAGUAACGCGUGGGUAACCUACCUGUACAGGGGGACAACAGUUGGAAACGACUGCUAAUACCGCAUAAGCGCACAGCUUCGCAUGAAGCAGUGUGAGAAGUUUUUUCGGUACAAGAUGGACCCCGCGUCUGAUUAGCUAGUUGGUGAGGUAACGGCCCACCAAGGCGACGAUCAGUAGCCGACCUGAGAGGGUGACCGGCCACAUUGGGACUGAGACACGGCCCAAACUCCUACGGGAGGCAGCAGUGGGGAAUAUUGCACAAUGGGCGAAAGCCUGAUGCAGCCGACGCCGCGUGAGCGAAGAAGUAUUUCGGUAUGUAAGGCUCUAUCAGCAGGGAAGAUAAUGACGGUACCUGACUAAGAAGCACCGGCUAAGUACGUGCCAGCAGCCGC